UCUGGUUGUGCCAUUCCGUUCCUCACUUAUACGUUUCCAGCUCAAAGUUUUUGCCUGAUUCACAAUCCAAACCUCCAAAGUGCAAAAACUCCACAAAAAAUUACGAAUAAUUAAUCCUCAACAUGGAAACAAAAAUAAUUCUCCAAGUAAUUCUGAUCCUAGUCCAAUUACUCGCAUGGUCUAUGAACAUCGCUGCAUUGGUCAUGUAUCGAAAAGGAGACGAGGGUUUCUUUAUGGGUGCUUCCUACAAUAAAAAUCAUGACGCCGAAUCCUACGUUUCCUGAGUAUUCAUUGGUUUCAUAGCGCUAAAUAAAGCCCAACUAAUUUCUCGCGUGAUCAAUUAUUGUACGGAUCGGGGCAAAUUUUAUAAACUGAUUCCACUCAUAAGUACUUCAACAUUUUGCAUUUGCAUAAUUUAUUAAAAUUCCUCAACUUUAAAUGCUUUGAAUUUGUUUAAAAUAAUGUUACGCAUUUGGAAAGCAAAUGUAUUAUUAUUUCUGAAUUAAGUAUACUAAACAAAAUCCAGACUAAUCCUAAGCUUUACACUUUCUCAAUUUAAUGCUAAUAUGGAUUCACAUACAUAAUUUAGUUUAAAUAAUGGCGAAUUUAUUUAGAGUGCACUUAUAUUUCAAAGUGGUAACAAUAUUUCUAAAAGUGUAUUUACACUGCUAUAAAUCUGGAAUAGUCAGGCAGGCACUGAAUUCUUGGGAUUAAAGUUGCUAUCGCUUUAUAGGUGAUAGGAGUGUAGGGACAGUCCAUUAAUUAGGUAACGCAAAAAUCACGUUUUACAGAUCCCCCUGACCCCCAACAUAUUUAACAUAGGCACGAUAUCAUUAGAGCCAAAGUCCCCCACUUCACUCCUCUCGCGUUCCGAAAUUUAUGGACGGCCCCUUAUAAAUUUGCUACAAGUUUCAUUUGUUUAAAAGUUUAAUACCAAGCUAUUACUAUGCGGUCGGUAAUACCGACUCGGUAUUACUUCUUCAUUCCAGUUGGGUAGAGUUACAUAAGUAUGAAUACCGUGUAGUAUUAUUUUAAUACCGAAUUUCUAAGAAUGUAUACAUACUUUUGCAGGAACUUAUUAUGUUGGUGUGCGGUGGGUUCGCAUGGAUGUUUGCUGGUUCCAUCAUAAUAAAUUUUUGGGAGGCUUUCAUCCCUUACAACCAAUUCACGAAUUCUAAUCCUUCCGCCAUGGGUGUGACCAUGGGGAAAAUCAGUUUUGUUAUAGGAAUGAUUUACUUGCUUCAAUUGAUCUUUAUCAUUGUGAUACACGUUUUGGAUCGAAAAAAUGGGCGGAAUGGGGACAAUAGAGUAGCACAGCCGGCACAGGACAAACAGGAGUGUCGCGUCGUCCCUUCACAGACUUGAGAAGUAUUCAAUUUAAAAAAUGGGAUUCAAACCACUUAUAUAUUUUGUGGACAUUUAUAUAAAUAAAUUAGUUUUAUAAUAGGCGCGCGUUUAAUUGCAUAUACAUAAAUUCAAUAAAAUGAGUGAAUAAAAAAUGA